rnacentral:rRNA from 1 species
AACGAACGCUGGCGGCAGGCUUAACACAUGCAAGUCGAGCGCCCCGCAAGGGGAGCGGCAGCCGGGUGAGUAACGCGUGGGAACGUACCUUUUGGUUCGGAACAACUCCGGGACACUGGAGCUAAUACCGGAUAAGCCCUAACGGGGAAAGAUUUAUCGCCGAACGAUCGGCCCGCGUCUGAUUAGCUAGUUGGUGAGGUAACGGCUCACCAAGGCGACGAUCAGUAGCUGGUCUGAGAGGAUGAUCAGCCACACUGGGACUGAGACACGGCCCAGACUCCUACGGGAAGCAGCAGUGGGGAAUAGUGGACAAUGGGCGCAAGCCUGAUGCAGCCAUGCCGCGUGAGUGAUGAAGGCCUUAGGGUUGUAAAGCUCUUUUGUCCGGGAAGAUAAUGACUGUACCGGAAGAAUAAGCCCCGGCUAACUUCGUG